rnacentral:rRNA from 1 species
UACCAGCUCUCCGAGUGGUAGUGAUGUUUAUUGGGCUUAAAGCGUCCGUAGCCGGCUUAGCAAGUCUCCUGUUAAAUUCAGCGACCUAAUCGUUGAGCCGCGGGAGAUACUACUAGGCUAGGAGGCGGGAGAGGUCAACGGUACUUCCGGGGUAGGGGUGAAAUCCUAUAAUCCCGGGAGGACCACCAGUGGCGAAGGCUGUUGACUAGAACGCGCUCGACGGUGAGGGACGAAAGCUGGGGGAGCGAACCGGAUUAGAUACCCGGGUAGUCCCAGCUGUAAACGAUGCGAGCUAGGUGUUGGGGUGGCUACGUGCCACUUCAGUGCCGCAGGGAAGCCAUUAAGCUCGCCGCCUGGGGAGUACGGCCGCAAGACUGAAACUUAAAGGAAUUGGCGGGGGAGCACCACAAGGCGUGAAGCUUGCGGUUC